rnacentral:rRNA from 1 species
GGGAAUCUACCGUGCCCUGCGGAAUAGCUCCGGGAAACUGGAAUUAAUACCGCAUACGCCCUACGGGGGAAAGAUUUAUCGGGGUAUGAUGAGCCCGCGUUGGAUUAGCUAGUUGGUGGGGUAAAGGCCUACCAAGGCGACGAUCCAUAGCUGGUCUGAGAGGAUGAUCAGCCACAUUGGGACUGAGACACGGCCCAAACUCCUACGGGAGGCAGCAGUGGGGAAUAUUGGACAAUGGGCGCAAGCCUGAUCCAGCCAUGCCGCGUGAGUGAUGAAGGCCUUAGGGUUGUAAAGCUCUUUCACCGGAGAAGAUAAUGACGGUAUCCGGAGAAGAAGCCCCGGCUAACUUCGUGCCAGCAGCCGCGGUAAUACGAAGGGGGCUAGCGUUGUUCGGAAUUACUGGGCGUAAAGCGCACGUAGGCGGAUAUUUAAGUCAGGGGUGAAAUCCCAGAGCUCAACUCUGGAACUGCCUUUGAUACUGGGUAUCUUGAGUAUGGAAGAGGUAAGUGGAAUCGCGAGU